GGGGGUGUAGCUCAUAUGGUAGAGCACUCGCUUCGCAUGCGAGAGGUACGGGGUUCAAUUCCUUGCACCUCCA
rnacentral:tRNA from 1 species